rnacentral:lncRNA from 1 species
GACCUAGAGCUUUGAGGCAGAGAAUGACCAUGAACUUCAAGUCUUCCUGCAUUCAUUUCUCAAGUACUGGAUUUCAGAUAAGCCACUCAUCAGGACCAUACACACCCCAGGAGGACACCUGUGUCUGCCUUCUCAGCAUUGGAAUGGCAAAUAUAUGCUACCAACUCGUUGCCUUUGUAUGGGUGCCAAGUGGUUUUAUGCUGUUGUCUUGGUUGUGUUUAUUUUGGUUUUGGGGUUUUUCAAGACAGGGUUUCUCUGUGUAGCCCUCAAUGUCCUGGAACUUGCUCUGUAGACCAGAGAUCUGCCUGCUUCUGCCUCCCAAGGUUCCCAUGUUUUUAUGAAAUACACUUUACCAACAGUG